UGGGGAAUUUUGGACAAUGGGCGAAAGCCUGAUCCAGCAAUGCCGCGUGUGUGAAGAAGGCCUUCGGGUUGUAAAGCACUUUUGUCCGGAAAGAAAUCCUUGGCUCUAAUACAGUCGGGGGAUGACGGUACCGGAAGAAUAAGCACCGGCUAACUACGUGCCAGCAGCCGCGGUAAUACGUAGGGUGCAAGCGUUAAUCGGAAUUACUGGGCGUAAAGCGUGCGCAGGCGGUUUGCUAAGACCGAUGUGAAAUCCCCGGGCUCAACCUGGGAACUGCAUUGGUGACUGGCAGGCUAGAGUAUGGCAGAGGGGGGUUAGAAUUCCACGUGUAGCAGUGAAAUGCGUAGAGAUGUGGAGGAAUACCGAUGGCGAAGGCAGCCCCCUGGGCCAAUACUGACGCUCAUGCACGAAAGCGUGGGGAGCAAACAGGAUUAGAUACCCUGGUAGUCCACGCCCUAAACGAUGUCAACUAGUUGUUGGGGAUUCAUUUCCUUAGUAACGUAGCUAACGCGUGAAGUUGACCGCCUGGGGAGUACGGUCGCAAGAUUAAAACUU
rnacentral:rRNA from 1 species